rnacentral:rRNA from 1 species
CUCAGAGUGAACGCUGGCGGUAGGCCUAACACAUGCAAGUCGAACGGCAGCACAGUAAGAGCUUGCUCUUAUGGGUGGCGAGUGGCGGACGGGUGAGGAAUACAUCGGAAUCUACCUUUUCGUGGGGGAUAACGUAGGGAAACUUACGCUAAUACCGCAUACGACCUUCGGGUGAAAGCAGGGGACCUUCGGGCCUUGCGCGGAUAGAUGAGCCGAUGUCGGAUUAGCUAGUUGGCGGGGUAAAGGCCCACCAAGGCGACGAUCCGUAGCUGGUCUGAGAGGAUGAUCAGCCACACUGGAACUGAGACACGGUCCAGACUCCUACGGGAGGCAGCAGUGGGGAAUAUUGGACAAUGGGCGCAAGCCUGAUCCAGCCAUACCGCGUGGGUGAAGAAGGCCUUCGGGUUGUAAAGCCCUUUUGUUGGGAAAGAAAAGCAGUCGGCUAAUACCCGGUUGUUCUGACGGUACCCAAAGAAUAAGCACCGGCUAACUUCGUGCCAGCAGCCGCGGUAAUACGAAGGGUGCAAGCGUUACUCGGAAUUACUGGGCGUAAAGCGUGCGUAGGUGGUUGUUUAAGUCUGUUGUGAAAGCCCUGGGCUCAACCUGGGAAUUGCAGUGGAUACUGGGCGACUAGAGUGUGGUAGAGGGUAGUGGAAUUCCCGGUGUAGCAGUGAAAUGCGUAGAGAUCGGGAGGAACAUCCAUGGCGAAGGCAGCUACCUGGACCA